rnacentral:rRNA from 1 species
GAUGAACGCUGGCGACGUGCCUAAUACAUGCAAGUCGAGCGAACGGACGAGAAGCUUGCUUCUCUGAUGUUAGCGGCGGACGGGUGAGUAACACGUGGAUAACCUACCUAUAAGACUGGGAUAACUUCGGGAAACCGGAGCUAAUACCGGAUAAUAUUUUGAACCGCAUGGUUCAAAAGUGAAAGACGGUCUUGCUGUCACUUAUAGAUGGAUCCGCGUUGCAUUAGCUAGUUGGUAAGGUAACGGCUUACCAAGGCAACGAUGCAUAGCCGACCUAAGAGGGUGAUCGGCCACACUGGAACUGAGACACGGUCCAGACUCCUACGGGAGGCAGCAGUAGGGAAUCUUCCGCAAUGGGCGAAAGCCUGACGGAGCAACGCCGCGUGAGUGAUGAAGGUCUUCGGAUCGUAAAACUCUGUUAUUAGGGAAGAACAUAUGUGUAAGUAACUGUGCACAUCUUGACGGUACCUAAUCAGAAAGCCACGGCUAACUACGUG